rfam:Triticum urartu cultivar G1812 contig820647, whole genome shotgun sequence.
CUAAUACUCCCUCCAUCCCAUAUUACUUGACGCUCAAACGGAUGUAUCUAGCACUGAAAUACAUCUAGAUACAUUCGUUUAAGCGUCAAGUAAUAUGGGACAGAGGAAGUAUCAU